CCACCGGGGGGCGACUCCUCUGGUCCUAUAGGGGUCUGAAGGCUGCAUCGUCUCUAGUGACCACCGGGGGGCGACUCCUCUGGUCUUAAAGGCCUAAAAGACUUAACAAAUUGUAGCACUUUUUGAAAAUCUCCUUGUGGUUGAAAAGCACUUAUUGUAAGUUGCUUUGGAUAAAAGCGUCAGCUACAUGACAUUUAAUGUAAUGUAAUGCCUUCUCUCUAAUGACCACUGAGGGCGACUCUUUAGGUCAGACAGAAGUCUGUGGGGGAAACGUUCCUCCCCAUAACACGGCUGCACCGUGACGCCAGCUACUCGCCCGUUUGUCCUCGUGUGAGUGCAUGUGUGUGGGUGUGGUUUGGGCGUGGCUGCAAUCAGCUGGCAUCGUGGCUCCUCGCCUGUGGUUCAUUGGACCCUCGUCAGAUGAAAUUUCCCGGUCUUCAGUGGUCCCAUCACCACAUCCUUUCUCCACCAGUGUGGAUCUCCAGGCAACAACCAGCGCCUCGCGCUCCGGACUGCACUGGAUAAAUGUUCCACCUAUCUGCCGUCUCGCUGUCUGCAUCUGGGUCCCGAUUAAACCGACCAUAACAGAAAGCUCACUUAGAUGUAGACAACAUCACCACUUUGUCACUUUCAAAUAAAACAUUCAAAUGUAUGUAUUUCCUGCAGUAAAUUGGUCGUUUAAUGAAGAGUCAUUUCCUCUCUGUGUGAUUAAUUGAUGAAGUUCUUCUUCUCAGACUUCAUUUAGUUGCACAGUACAAUCCAUUUGUCACAAAACCAACGUCCAUUAUUCUCUGACUUAAACUUUGCCUGAGGAACGUAAUACUUCCAUUCCUCUGAUCAGACUCUGCUGGUCCCUCUGAGAUCAGGUCUCAGGGUUUCUUCUGGACAGGAAGUAGUGGGAGUCGUUGCAGCGCUCAGAUCUUCCCUCCGAAGGAGCAGACGGAUCGCUCCCCUUCAGGCCUCCGCUGCGAAUGAUAAUUAAUGGCACUGCCUUCCAGCGGUGCAUGCUGGGUAAGCUCUCCCCCCACCCAUCCAUCACCGCUGACAUCGGCAUUUAUGUGGUUAGCACCGCGAGAGGCUCGCUGCCGAGGAAGAAGGAGGAAGAGGACGAAGAAGAUGAAAGAGGAGGAGGAGGAGGAACAAUAUUAAGGAAGAGGAGGAGGACUGAUGAGCAGGCAGAUUUCUCCUAAGACAUUAAUCAAUGAAUCCAUCGACGGAGAACCGAUCCAGAAUUAUAGAGCACGAGAACCUCAGGACCUCACCGAAGAAUCACACAAUUUGAUUGAUAAUCAAAGAUAUUCACCCGACAAUCUUUGAUUAUCAAUUGGUAAAAGUAGUGGUCAAAGUAUGAAAAUAUCAUAUUGUGUCGGGAUAUCAUCCAAUCGUCAUCUUAUCGUGACUUAAGUCCGGUGAUGUCAUCGCAUCGUGACUUAAAUACGGCGAUGUCAUCGUAUCGUGACUAAAGUACGGCGAUGUCAUCGUAUCGUGACUUAAGUACGGCGAUGUCACAAUCACUAAUCACAUUACUUAGUGGAUCAAUAUUUGUAUUCUUCCGUUUUUCAAGUGAAAUCAGUAAAAAAGAGAAUAAACAGUGUCAACACAAACGAUGUCGUCAGGUGCAAACAGAAAAGACACCGAGGUGGAAACAUAAUGUGGGUCGAAGGUCAUCACCAGUGAGGAGGACGAGAGACGAAAGGAGGAGGCAGAGGAGGUGACAGUACUGGGUUAGUCCACCGCGGCUGGAUGAGGAGUGACAGCGAAGGAGGAGAAACACUGAGGAGCCGUCAGAGUGGAGACGGUUCACCGCUAGAAGGUCAUCAGCCGAGAGAGGAGCGAGGAGAAUGAUGGACGGAGGUGGAGAGCAGGAGAGAGGAGAGAGGAGGCGGAAGAGGAAGAGGAGGCCACGCUGUCGGGUCGAUUUGCCUCUCAAAGUAAAAGGAGAAAAAGGGUGAGAUUUUGAGGGAGUGGAGAGGUGAUCAGGUUAGCUUUGAGGUGAGGAGAUGUGACGGUGAGGAGGAGGAGCAUCGUGCAGAGGAACAUGAAAGAUGUAAGAGCGGAGCUGCAGGAGGAAACAUUGCUUCAUUUUAGCAGAGAAGUGCAGCUUGAAACAGCAGCAGCAGCCGAAGGAAACAAGGAGACAGAGGAGCCGUCUCGUCCUCGCUGCAGACUUGAAUUAAAGUGGUUCAAACCAGAGAAGAUGUUCCCUCUGAAAAGGUGAAGGAUCCUUUUUACUUUUAGGGUUCUCUGUGUUUAGAAGUUUCCUCCAAUCUGCCAACGUGCAGAAGUCUCCUGUGAUGAAGCAGGAGGCGGGGCUUCAAUGGACUCCUGCAGUAGCUUCGCCGUCUCCAUCCUCUGAUCGACAUGCUCAUUUUGCAUCUCUUCUUCUUCUUAGCGGGAGAGGAAAAUGUCGACGUCCAGGAGUUAUGAAGUUAUGAAGUGACGUUUCAGUGCUUCAGGUAGUUGAAGACGAGGAGCGACGAAGGCUCUCGUGUUGGAACCUCCGGUUCACAACAUUAAGUCAGAGCUUCAUGACUUUAAGUUCUCAAAAUGGAUUUAGAGCUAAAUCUCUAUAGCGACCACCAGGGGGCGAGCGACCAACCACCUCCUCCUAAUUACGUGUCGUCCUCUUGACACAGUUAAUAUAUUUAACGUCAGCAAGCGCCUUCAAAACAUUAUACAAUUGCCCACUACUUUCUGGACAGAGCGCACAACUACACCCCCACCGCCCCGUGUUUAUCCGCCACACAAACAUUGGAGGCUCGAAAGGUUGGAGGCCUUCAAUGAGAAAAUAACUCCAUACGACCAUAAAGCUGAGUGACAGCUCUAUGAUAGACCAUAACGCAGGGUAUGCUUUGGGGCGGGGCUACACGUUGAUUGACAGGUGUAAUAUAAAAACUCAAAGUUCUGGUAAAAAAACAAGUUUUCCCUCGUUAAACACAGUAAAGCAACGAGACCUUUAGGAGUCAACUAGAGGAAAUCAUCACCUCCUCCCCUUCUCUCCUUCUCUCCUCUCCUCCCCUC
ensembl:lncRNA